rnacentral:rRNA from 1 species
GACGAACGCUGGCGGCGUGCUUAACACAUGCAAGUCGAACGGUGAAGCGCCUUCCUUUUUGGUGGGUGUGGAUGAGUGGCGAACGGGCGAGUAACACGUGAGUAACCUGCCCCCUUCUUCUGGAUAACCGCAUGAAAGUGUGGCUAAUACGGGAUAUUCUGGGUCUGUCGCAUGAUGGGUCUGGGAAAGAUAUUGUUUCGGUGGGGGAUGGGCUCGCGGCCUAUCAGCUUGUUGGUGGGGUGAUGGCCUACCAAGGCGGUGACGGGUAGCCGGCCUGAGAGGGUGGACGGUCACACGGGGACUGGGACACGGCCCAGACUCCUACGGGAGGCAGCAGGGGGGAAUAUUGCACAAUGGGCGCAAGCCUGAUGCAGCGACGCCGCGUGAGGGAUGGAGGCCUUCGGGUUGUGAACCUCUUUCGCCAGUGAAGCAGGCCUGCCUCGUUUGUGGGUGGGUUGACGGUAGCUGGAUAAGAAGCGCCGGCUAACUACGUG